rnacentral:lncRNA from 1 species
GGACUCCUACCAUGAAGCUCAUAGAGCUUGCCUUUCUCUUAAACCACUUCGUUCUAAAUGAAUAAUUGUGAAGGAGAAGAGUUAUAUUUAUAGGCUGAUUUCCAAGUGGGUUUAGACUGAAAAACUAGGAUUUUUCCAACAACCCGCAGGGAAAAACAACAAAAAAAACUGUUAUUUUCCUUGCCAUGAACGCACACCUCUCUUGAGUGUUUUCUUCCAUGAAACUUGUCUUGGUACUUGAAAUAAAUAGAAUUCUCCUCUAUGUAAUGUCUUUACAUGCCUCUUGAAACUUCAUUCAUUGUCUUCCCAAAUCCUUUUAAGAUGCUUUGCUUUGUCGAUUUUCAUGAUUUUGACUUGAAUUACAUCAGAAACACCUAAGAACUGCAUGGUUUCGAUAAAAAUUAGAAUUACAUCACUCUAAAUGAAAACAUUACAAAAUAUCUCGUAAAAUCAUAUACAAUUGUUCCAAAACUCCUCUAUAUUAGAUCAAAACCUAAAUAAAAUGAAUGAAAAACAUGCUAAAAAUAAUGUAGGAUGACUUGUCAUCAGCAACCAAGGAUAUUUAGAAUAAGAGUGAAUAUGACGACUCUUGUCAUUUCCUCCAAGCAAUAAUUUUCACCAGUCUCCCUUACUCUUCCUCUUGGCAGUCUCCUCGAUAAUUUCUUUUCACACUCCUCCUCUUGAAAGGGACAUCUCCCUUAGAAAACAACGAGGUAGCCAUUUUCAAAAUAUCUCCAUUAGGGAUUAUUUAAGCUUGAAUGACUACCUUGGUAUAUAUAACAUCUCUUUCUAUAUAGGCAGAACUGCCAGAGCGACAAAGAUGGCAGGUGCAGUAUCAACAGUACAAGUAGGGGAGGGAACACCUUUCCCGUAGAAGUUCUUCGUAUCGUCCAUCUUUUCCAAAAUACACAUAUCAUAUGUAAAAGGAAAGAUAGAUAGUGUUAGAAAAAAGAAAGAAAAAAAAAACCCGUAAAAAGCCUCCAUUCAAGAUAGAACAUGAAAAUGUAAACAUGAAAAUGUACACAUGAAUUUUCAACAACCUUUUUACAAUCGUUUUUAGAGGAUUUAAACUUUGUAAGUCAAGAUUUAUAAUACUAAACUCUUACUACUCGACUAAAAUAUCAAAUGUGAAUUUUCAACAAUGAAUUAACUAAUAAUAUUUUUUCAAAAAUUAUUUUUAUUUUGUAAGAUAUGAAAAGAUGAAGAUACAACACAGCCAUUUUCUUUUUUACAAUCAACACAACCAUUUUUAACAUUGAAAAUAGUGCACCAUUUUCAUAUGUACAUGAGUAGAUCAUCAUAACAUAUUAUGGCAAUAGACACAAAAGUGAAUUACAACAAAUCAAUCUCUACAACAUUAACAGCUUCAACAAUUAGCACUAUUUUUCACAAUCCUAUUUCCUUCAAACAAGUUAGAAAAAGAACACUCACACCUACACAAAAGUAGGGGCACUCAUCACACAAGAUCCAAGGUUAUUUGGUCCCAAAAUCCAACAUUUUUUCUUCAACAACCUUUUUCCCCCAUGAUCUUUGAUCCGAAAAAUCUUAAAUAAUAAACAAAAAGAAAUGCACAAAGACCUAUAUUUGGUCUUACAAACGUGCUUAAUUUGAAAAAGCAAUAUUGAGUAUACUUUAGCUAAAAUUGCUUCAACUUAUGUG